CUCACUGUGGGGCAGGGGAAGAUGGGCCUUACUUUCACUGCAGGGACAGGAUUAUGGGAAGUUGAACGGUGUAAGGGGGGGUGCUGUAAAACUCAAUAAUCAUACUAACACCCAGGAAAAUUAACACUGAAAGCAAAACCACAAUUCCCUCUCCAUUUAUUCCAUCAUUCAAGAGACACUUAUUGAUGCCAAACAGGGACCAAGGUUUUAGGAACUUUUCCCUGCCACAGGCUCCCUUAAUACUUUUUGUUCCAAAAAUCCUGCUCUUUGAAGUUAUUUACCCAAUAAAUAUGCUGCAAGUAC
rnacentral:antisense_RNA from 1 species